rnacentral:rRNA from 1 species
ACUUGCAGCAUCCUAGUACGGCGAGUGAGCGGGAAGAGCUCAAAUUUGAAAUCUGGCAGUCUUCGAUUGUCCGAGUUGUAAUCUAUAGAGGCGUUUUCCGUGCCGGACCGUGUCCAAGUCUCCUGGAAAGGAGUAUCAAAGAGGGUGAUAAUCCCGUACUUAACACGACCACCGGUGCUCUGUGAUACGUCUUCUACGAGUCGAGUUGUUUGGGAAUGCAGCUCAAAAUGGGUGGUGAAUUCCAUCUAAAGCUAAAUAUUGGCGAGAGACCGAUAGCGAACAAGUACCGUGAGGGAAAGAUGAAAAGCACUUUGGAAAGAGAGUUAAACAGUACGUGAAAUUGUUGAAAGGGAAACGAUUGAAGUCAGUCGUGUUCUUUGGAUUCAGCCAGUUCUGCUGGUCUACUUCCUUGGAACGGGUCAACAUCAGUUUUGUCCGGUGGAUAAAGGUAGUAGGAAUGUGACUUCUCCGGAAGUGUUAUAGCCUAUUAUCACAUACACUGGGUGAGACUGAGGACUGCAGCUCGCCUUUAUGGCCGGUCUUCGGACACGUUCGAGCUUAGGAUGUUGACAUAAUGGCUUUAAACGACCCGUCUUG